rnacentral:rRNA from 1 species
AGAGUUUGAUCCUGGCUCAGAAUGAACGCUGGCGGCGUGCUUAACACAUGCAAGUCGAACGAUGAAGCCUAGCUUGCUAGGUGGAUUAGUGGCGCACGGGUGAGUAAUAUAUAGAUAACGUGCCUCUUAGUCUGGGAUAGCCAUUGGAAACGAUGAUUAAUACUAGAUACUCCUUCUCUAUCUAAUUAGAGUUGGGAAAGUUUUUCGCUAAGAGAUCGGUCUAUAUCCCAUCAGUUAGUUGGUAAGGUAACGGCUUACCAAGGCAAUGACGGGUAGCGGGUUUGAGAGGAUGAUCCGCCACACUGGUACUGAGACACGGACCAGACUCCUACGGGAGGCAGCAGUGAGGAAUAUUGCACAAUGGAGGAAACUCUGAUGCAGCAACGCCGCGUGGAGGAUGACGCAUUUCGGUGUGUAAACUCCUUUUAUAUGUCAAGAAAAUGACGGUAGCAUAUGAAUAAGCACCGGCUAACUCCGUGCCAGCAGCCGCGGUAAUACGGAGGGUGCAAGCGUUAUUCGGAAUCACUGGGCGUAAAGGACGCGUAGGCGGGAAGCCAAGUCUGAUGUGAA